rnacentral:snRNA from 1 species
GGGUAGACUCAACUGAACUGAUUGGGCCCAUGUGACCCUCCUGAAGUUGUACACUCAAUCAAAGAAGACCACUUUCUCCAAUAGAGGACUGGUCUUCAGUUAAGGGUUUAGGAGUGGCUGAAGACUCCUGCUAGAAUGUCCAAAUAGGCUCUCAAGGUGGGGUUUCACUCUGUAACCCAGGCUGGCUUCAAACUUGCAGUACUCUGUUACCCAAAUGCUGGGAUUACAG